rnacentral:rRNA from 1 species
CUGGCGGACUAGUGGCGGUUAUGGGGUUCAAAAGAGUUGUCGCGGUGGCAUCCCUUGAUCUUGUUAUCUUCGCCAUC